GAUGAACGCUGGCGGCGUGCCUAAUACAUGCAAGUCGAGCGAACGGACCUGCAGUUCGUUUUGCUGAUGUUAUCGGCGGACGGGGGAGUAACACGUGGAUCACCUACCUUUUAGACUGGGAUUACUUCGGGAAACCGGAGCUAAAGCCGAAUAAUCUUUUGAACUGCAUGGUGCAGCAGUGAAUGACGGACUUUCUGCUACUGAUAGAGGAAUCGGUGCUGCAUUAGCUGGUUGUUGAGGUAACGGCUAACUAAGGCAACGACGGCGAGCCGCCGUGAGAGUGUGAUCGGCCACACUGGAAUUGAGACACGGUCAAGGCCCCUACGGGAGGCAGCAGUAGGAGAUCGUCAGAAAUGGGAGAAAGCCGGACGGAGAAACGGCGCGUGAGUGAUGGAGGUCUUCGCAUCGUAAAACUCUGCUCCUUGGGAAGAACAGAUGUGUAAGUAACUGUGCACAUCUUGACGGUACUGAAUCAGAAAGCAACGGCUAACUACGUG
rnacentral:rRNA from 1 species